UGCCAGCAGCCGCGGUAAUACGAAGGGACCUAGCGUAGUUCGGAAUUACUGGGCGUAAAGCGCGCGUAGGCGGAUUGAUUAGUUGGGGGUGAAAUCCCGGAGCUCAACUCCGGAACUGCCUCCAAUACUGUCAGUCUUGAGGUCGAGAGAGGUAAGUGGAAUUCCGAGUGUAGAGGUGAAAUUCGUAGAUAUUCGGAAGAACACCAGUGGCGAAGGCGACUUACUGGCUCGAUUCUGACGCUGAGGUGCGAAAGCGUGGGGAGCAAACAGGAUUAGAUA
rnacentral:rRNA from 1 species